UGUGUCCAUGCGUAGAGAGGCGUGAGUGUGGCAUAAUGAAAGCUUGUGGAGUUUGUGUUCAGCCACACAGACGCGCUCAGAUCGUGUGUCUCGUGAGCAGUCGCUGAGGUGUGAGACCAUCCUGGAGAGAGGAGAGCUGGCGGAUCCGUAGCCGAGAGUAAAUAAAAGCACAUCUGCUGAGAAAAUGGGUGAGGAGGGGCCGCCCAGCCUGGAGUACAUUCAGGCCCGGGAUCUGUUUCCCCAGAAAGAGCUGCUCAAAGAGGACGACACUCU